rnacentral:rRNA from 1 species
GACGAACGCUGGCGGCGUGCUUAACACAUGCAAGUCGAGCGGAAAGGCCACUUCGGUGGUACUCGAGCGGCGAACGGGUGUGUAACACGUGAGUAAUCUGCCCUUGGCUUCGGGAUAGCCACCGGAAACGGCGAUUAAUACCGGAUAUGACCACUCCAUGCAUCUGGUGGUGGUGGAAAGUUUUUCGACCAGGGAUGUGCUCGCGGCCUAUCAGCUUGAUGGUGAGGUAAUGGCUCACCAUGGCUUCGACGGGUAGCCGGCCUGAGAGGGUGACCGUUCACACUGGGACCGGCACCCGGCGCGAACUCCUCCGGGAGCCAACAGUGGGCAAUAUCGGUCAAUGGGCGGAAGGCUGAUCCAUCAACGCGGCGUGAGGUGUAAGGUCCUUCGGGUUGGAACCCUCUUUCGCCAACGACGAAGCGCUAGUCAUGGUAACAGGGAAAGAAGCACCGGCCAAAUACAUCCCAGCAGCCGCAGUAAAAC